UGCCUCAGUAACGGCGAGUGAAGCGGCAACAGCUCAAAUUUGAAAUCUGGCCUUCGGGUCCGAGUUGUAAUUUGCAGAGGAUGCUUUUGACGAGGUGGCGACCGAGUGCCCUGGAACGGGCCGCCGUAGAGGGUGAGAGCCCCGUAUGGUCGCACUGCCGAGUCUCUGUAAAGCUCCUUCAACGAGUCGAGUAGUUUGGGAAUGCUGCUCUAAAUGGGAGGUGUAUGUCUUCUAAAGCUAAAUACCGGCCAGUGACCGAUAGCGCACAAGUAGAGUGAUCGAAAGGUGAAAAGAACUUUGAAAAGAGAGUUAAAAAGUACGUGAAAUUGUCAAAAGGGAAGCAUUUAUGACCAGACUUGGGCGUGGUUGAUCAUCCGGCGUUCUCGCCGGUGCACUCUGCCCGCCUAGGCCAGCAUCAGUUCGCCUCGGGGGAGAAAGGCUUCGGGAAUGUGGCUCUUCGGAGUGUUAUAGCCCGUUGCGUAAUGCCCUGGGGUGGACUGAGGUCCGCGCUCGCGCUUGGAUGUUGGCAUAAUGGUCAUCAAUGACCCGUCUUGAAACACGGACCAAGGAGUCGUCUUCGUAUGCGAGUGUUCGGGUGUCAAACCCCUACGCGAAAUGAAAGUGAACGCAGGUGGGAGCUUCGGCGCACCACCGACCGAUCCUGAUGUUCUCGGAUGGAUUUGAGUAAGAGCAUACGGGGCCGGACCCGAAAGAAGGUGAACUAUGCCUGUGUAGGGUGAAGCCAGAGGAAACUCUGGUGGAGGCUCGCAGCGGUUCUGACGUGCAAAUCGAUCGUCAAACAUGGGCAUGGGGGCGAAAGACUAAUCGAACCUUCUAGUAGCUGGUUUCCGCCG
rnacentral:rRNA from 1 species